CCUACGGGAGGCAGCAGUGGGGAAUAUUGCACAAUGGGCGCAAGCCUGAUGCAGCGACGCCGCGUGAGGGAUGACGGCCUUCGGGUUGUAAACCUCUUUCAGUAGGGAAGAAGCGAAAGUGACGGUACCUGCAGAAGAAGCGCCGGCUAACUACGUGCCAGCAGCCGCGGUAAUACGUAGGGCGCAAGCGUUAUCCGGAAUUAUUGGGCGUAAAGAGCUCGUAGGCGGUUUGUCGCGUCUGCCGUGAAAGUCCGGGGCUCAACUCCGGAUCUGCGGUGGGUACGGGCAGACUAGAGUGAUGUAGGGGAGACUGGAAUUCCUGGUGUAGCGGUGAAAUGCGCAGAUAUCAGGAGGAACACCGAUGGCGAAGGCAGGUCUCUGGGCAUUAACUGACGCUGAGGAGCGAAAGCAUGGGGAGCGAACAGGAUUAGAUACCCUGGUAGUCCAUGCCGUAAACGUUGGGCACUAGGUGUGGGGGACAUUCCACGUUUUCCGCGCCGUAGCUAACGCAUUAAGUGCCCCGCCUGGGGAGUACGGCCGCAAGGCUAAAACUCAAAUGAAUUGACGGCNGAGACGNGCGACGACGACGACGAGGGAGGAGG
rnacentral:rRNA from 1 species